UAAAGUGGCGUACGGGUGAGUAACACGUGGAUCAUCUACCCUCUUGUGGGGAAUACCGCUGGGAAACCGGCGACAAUACCGCAUAAGCUCGAGAGAGGAAAGCCGAAAGGCGCAGGAGGAGGAGUCCGCGGUCGAUUAGUUAGUUGGCAGGGUAAAAGCCUACCAAGACUGUGAUCGAUAGCCGGCCUGAGAGGGCACACGGCCACACUGGCACUGAAACACGGGCCAG
rnacentral:rRNA from 1 species